rnacentral:tRNA from 1 species
GUCCAGGCUAGCCUAGUGAAUAUGGCGUCUGCACGGUAAGCGGAACACUGUGGGUUCGAUUCCCAUCCCUGGACA